GAUGAACGCUGGCGGCAUGCCUAACACAUGCAAGUCGAUCGGUAAGGCUCUUCGGAGUACACGAGAGGCGGACGGCUGAGUAACGCGUAGGAACACACCCUGCAGUGAGGGAUAAGACACCGAAAGGUGUUCUAAUACCGCAUACGGUCUUCGGAUUAAAGCAUUUAUGCGCUGAAGGAGUGGCCUGCGUCAUAUUAGAUAGUUGGUGAGGUAAUGGCUCACCAAGUCGAUGAUGUGUAGCUGGUCUGAGAGGAUGAUCAGCCAGACUGGAACUGAGACACGGUCCAGACUCCUACGGGAGGCAGCAGUGAGGAAUAUUUCACAAUGAGCGAAAGCUUGAUGGAGCAAUGCCGCGGGCAGGAUGAAGGCCCUCGGGUUGUAAACUGCUUUUAUAAGAGAAGAUUAUGACGGUAACUUAUGAAUAAGGGACGGCUAACUACGG
rnacentral:rRNA from 1 species